GUACUGCCCCGGCAGGGGAGGCACCAUGAUCACGAAGGUGGGUCCCCCAGGGCGAGGCUUAUCCGUUGCUGUCCGGAUGUGCUGACCCUGCCAUGUCCCCAAGUGUGGGAAACACGACUGCACAAUUCGUGGUAGUGGGGGACUGUGUUCACACUCUGCUCUG